UGGGGAAUAUUGGACAAUGGGCGCAAGCCUGAUCCAGCCAUGCCGCGUGUGUGAAGAAGGCCUUCGGGUUGUAAAGCACUUUCAGCGAGGAGGAAGGGAGUUGUGUUAAUAGCACAGCUUCUUGACGUUACUCGCAGAAGAAGCACCGGCUAACUCUGUGCCAGCAGCCGCGGUAAUACAGAGGGUGCAAGCGUUAAUCGGAAUUACUGGGCGUAAAGCGCACGUAGGCGGUUUUUAAGUCAGAUGUGAAAGCCCCGGGCUCAACCUGGGAAUUGCAUUUGAAACUGGAAAACUAGAGUGUGUGAGAGGGGGGUAGAAUUCCAAGUGUAGCGGUGAAAUGCGUAGAGAUUUGGAGGAAUACCAGUGGCGAAGGCGGCCCCCUGGCACAACACUGACGCUCAGGUGCGAAAGCGUGGGGAGCAAACAGGAUUAGAUACCCUCGUAGUCCCUGAGCGGGCUGGCAAGGCGCAU
rnacentral:rRNA from 1 species